rnacentral:rRNA from 1 species
GACGAACGCUGGCGGCGUGCUUAACACAUGCCAGUCGAACGGAAAGGCCCUGCUUGCAGGGUACUCGAGUGGCGAACGGGUGAGUAACACGUGGGUGAUCUGCCCUGCACUUCGGGAUAAGCCUGGGAAACUGGGUCUAAUACCGGAUAGGAGCCAUUUUUAGUGUGAUGGUUGGAAAGUUUUUUCGGUGUAGGAUGAGCUCGCGGCCUAUCAGCUUGUUGGUGGGGUAAUGGCCUACCAAGGCGGCGACGGGUAGCCGGCCUGAGAGGGUGGACGGCCACAUUGGGACUGAGAUACGGCCCAGACUCCUACGGGAGGCAGCAGUGGGGAAUAUUGCACAAUGGGCGCAAGCCUGAUGCAGCGACGCCGCGUGGGGGAUGACGGCCUUCGGGUUGUAAACUCCUUUCGCUAGGGACGAAGCUUUUUGUGACGGUACCUAGAUAAGAAGCACCGGCUAACUACGU